GAUGAACGCUGGCGGCGUGCCUAAUACAUGCAAGUCGAGCGAACGGACGAGAAGCUUGCUUCUCUGAUGUUAGCGGCGGACGGGUGAGUAACACGUGGAUAACCUACCUAUAAGACUGGGAUAACUUCGGGAAACCGGAGCUAAUACCGGAUGAUAUUUUGAACCGCAUGGUUCAAAAGUGAAAGACGGUCUUGCUGUCACUUAUAGAUGGAUCCGCGCUGCAUUAGCUAGUUGGUAAGGUAAUGGCUUACCAAGGCAACGAUGCAUAGCCGACCUGAGAGGGUGAUCGGCCACACUGGAAGUGAGACACGGGCCAGACUCCUACGGGAGGCAGCAGUAGGGAAUCUUCCGCAAUGGGCGAAAGCCUGACGGAGAAACGCCGCGUGAGUGAUGAAGGUCUUCGGAUCGUAAAACUCUGUUAUUAGGGAAGAACAUAUGUGUAAGUAACUGUGCACAUCUUGACGGUACCUAAUCAGAAAGCCACGGCUAACUACGUG
rnacentral:rRNA from 1 species